rnacentral:lncRNA from 1 species
AUGACAAAUGAAGAAAAACAUGGCAAUUUGGAGAGGACUUUGCAGAAGAGAUCACAAAUGCACUGGCAUCACAAAAAUAAGGACAGAGAGGAUCAGACGCCCCAGAGAGAAGACUGUGAAAAUCUAGAAAAUAAAGAAAAUAGUGAAAUGUCUUUGUGCCUUGCUACUCAACAGAAGUCUUCACCUAGUAGCAGUAUGUCCUUUGAAACCACUCGGAAUCUGAAGAUCAAAGAUGACACUUCUCACUUAGCAGUAACUCAAUCCACUAACAGACUUCAGGAUCAUCAAAAGCAAGUCAUUAACACAGUACACUUUCCGGGCAAAUUCUCAGACAGCGAGGACUUCUUGAUCAAAUAUAGUGACAUUGUCAUAAGACAAACGCCUAUUUUCAGUGAGAAUCUUUCUCCAGAAGCUUUUGAAAAAAAGCCAAGAGCCAGUCUAAGCAAGGAAUGUGUUUUGGCAGCCACUGCCCAGUCAACUGCAAAUGAGCCCUGGUCGGUGCCACUCUCGCCAGGAGCAAGCGGUCCUCCAGCCUUUGCAAUAUUUGCUGACAGCACUUGUGGCAGUAAAAGCUCUUUGGAGUACGAAGCUCAACAAGUCGCUGAAGAGUCCAUUGAAGCAAAAAUUAACGAUGCCAUAAACUGCGUAGACCCAGACCCUGCAGACAAACCCAAUGAGCUGAAGUCUCUGCCAUACACAGAUAUCACAUCUGUCCAAAACUGCCCUGUCCCUAGGGAAGAUGAAGUCUGUGAUCUGUCUUUAACCUUCACAAAGCUACAAGUCAAGGACGCUCAGGAAGAUCUGAUGUAUCCAAUAGAGGAAACUGGGCACCCUGAGUCACUAUCAUAUGCAAGUGACAGGAAUGUAAGAGAACUGAAUCAUUCCAAGAUGAAAUGCACAUACUCAACUAAUGCUGAAAUGCAGAACAGAGCAGCUGCAUUUAUUGAGCCAUCUCCGGAUCUGUGCUGUACUACUGAGAGCAUGGAGGAUCCCACUAGUGGCUCUGAAGGCAAGGGACUAUUAAUGGGUACUCCCAAUGCACAUAGGGCUUCUGAGUGCUUCAGGCACAUCAGAGAGCCUCCUAAUCCCACCUACAUUCCACCACGAAGUAUUGAUGUUCGUUCUCCAAGCAGAAGAAGCACCGGUGCACAGGGCAGAAGGAACCUUCUGCAGCCUGACAGUGAAUCCAGUGAAGUAAAACCAGAGAACUAUAAUUUAAAAGUAAAUGAAAUCCAGGAGCCUUACGUUAUUAUUGACAAAACUGACCAAGGAAUGUUGUGCUAG